rnacentral:lncRNA from 13 species
UUAGUUUUUGAGGAAGUUGGUUUGGAGUCACUUCUUGCAAUGAAUUAAGGGUUCCCAGUUGUAUUAUAGGUUCUUUUUCCUUGAUAUCUCAUUUCUACUCUGCCAGCAAGAACACCAUGCACCCCAACUCUAAAGAAGGAAGACUUUCAAGUCCAGACAGCAGAAAAGAGAAAAUGGGAGUCACCCCUACCUUUUGAUAGCUGGGCCUGAAAGUGACACACACUGCUUCUGCUCACAUCUCACAGGUAAGAAGUCACAUGACCAUACCUAUAUGCAAGGCAGU